UCAUAAGUCUUAGCUCAAUUGGUAAAAAUGUCGUAAUUGUCAGGCCAGAUGUCAUGAUCUGGGUUCGAAUCCCAGUACCUUCAUUUUGUGUGUGGGUUUAUUAUGCCUGUAAUUCUUAUUUAAUAGUACUCGUCUUUAGUGAAAGCAUGUUCCGGUAUGUAAGAACAAAUAUUAAAGAGAAUGUGUAAAGAGACAUUCCUUGCUUGGUUGAACUAUUUCAACUAUGUCAAUCCCAUGUAUAAUAAUAAAUCCUCAUCCUAUCUUGUCUCAUAUUGAAGGAUAAACGUAGAUUUUAUCUCUAGAAAGCAAGAGUUACUUCUAAGGAAGAGUAAC
rnacentral:lncRNA from 1 species